rnacentral:rRNA from 1 species
AACGAACGCUGGCGGCAUGCCUAACACAUGCAAGUCGAACGAGAUCUUCGGGUCUAGUGGCGCACGGGUGCGUAACGCGUGGGAAUCUGCCCUUUGGUUCGGAAUAACAGUUGGAAACGACUGCUAAUACCGGAUGAUGACGAAAGUCCAAAGAUUUAUCACCAGAGGAUGAGCCCGCGUAGGAUUAGCUAGUUGGUGUGGUAAAGGCGCACCAAGGCGACGAUCCUUAGCUGGUCUGAGAGGAUGAUCAGCCACACUGGGACUGAGACACGGCUCAGACUCCUACGGGAGGCAGCAGUGGGGAAUAUUGGACAAUGGGCGAAAGCCUGAUCCAGCAAUGCCGCGUGAGUGAUGAAGGCCUUAGGGUUGUAAAGCUCUUUUACCCGGGAUGAUAAUGACAGUACCGGGAGAAUAAGCUCCGGCUAACUCCGUGCCAGCCGCCGCAGUAA